UUCUCUCUCUCUCUCUCUCUCUUUCUAAAGACAAAACCGUGGAUCUAUCUCCUCCCUACGUUCCAUUAUUUUUGGUCGUUGGUGUACCUGUUGUCAUUCAUCUCUUCAUAAUUAAAUCCAUGCUUUUAUCUUCUUCAUCUUGUUGUUAGAUAGAUCUAAUCUCUAUCUAUAGAAAUUUGGAAAACUUUUCUCUUUCUUCCUCGGAUCAGAAAGAGAAAUGAGCUCUCUUCGAGCAGAUCCACCGACCUCCAAAAUUCACCCAGAAGCAGAAGCAACUGCUAGUUGUUUUUGUUCUUCUUCAAAAAUCGACCAUUUCGACCGCCUUCCGGACUCUCUUCUGUUAUUAGUUUUCAACAAAAUCGGCGAUGUCAAAGCUCUUGGUCGCUGCUGUGUUGUUUCUCGCCGCUUCCACUCUCUCGUCCCUCAGGUCGACAACGUUGUUGUCCGUGUAGACUGUGUCAUCUCCGAUGACGACACCCCCUCUUCUUCCUCCUCCAUCAAGUCACACUCUUCUUCUUCUUCUUCUGGCUUCUCCUCCAUCUUUCGUUUAGUCUUCGGUGGCAUUUCCAAACCCUUCCAAGCUCUGAGUCAGAUGUUUGGACCCAAGGUCAAUUCGCGAAAUGGAAAUGGGCCUUCCCUUUCUGUCGCCACCGAUGAUGAUAUGGAGCUGGAUCAAGCUGGUGUCACCCAUCAUUCUCCAACUCAGGUUCUUAAGAAUUUUAAUGAGAUUCGCUUUCUAAGAAUCGAGUUACCCAGUGGGGAAUUGGGAAUUGAUGAUGGGGUUCUUUUAAAAUGGAGGGCUGAUUUCGGAUCUACCCUUGAUAAUUGUGUUAUUCUUGGUGCUGCUUCCGUCAUUACCAAUAAUAAGAUUUCUUCUGCUAUGCAACAAGAAAAUGCCGCUGCCGCCGAUGAUGAUGAUAAUGGAAGCAUACCGGAGUCAUUUUACACCAAUGGGGGAUUGAAGUUGAGAGUUGUGUGGACUAUUAGCUCUUUAAUUGCUGCAUCUGCCAGGCAUUAUUUGCUUCAACCAAUUAUUGCUGAGCAUAAGACUCUCGAUAGUUUGGUGUUGGCUGAUGCUGAUGGGCAGGGUGUGUUGUGUAUGAAUAGGGAGCAAUUGGAAGAGUUGAGGGUCAAGCCGUUAUCGGCUUCUUCUGCUUCCAAGAGGACUCUUGUGCCUGCACUUAAUAUGCGCCUUUGGUAUGCUCCUCACUUGGAAUUGCCUGAUGGGGUUGUGUUGAAAGGUGCAACUUUGGUUGCUAUUAGGCCCAGUGAACAGGCUGCUACUAAGAAGGAUGUGUCUGAUGUCUCCUGGGUCUCUACCACGUUUGAGGAGCCUUAUGGUACAGCAGCUAAGAUGCUGGUGAAGAGAAGGACUUACUGCUUGGAGAUGAACUCAUUCUGAUUAGAAUAAUGGACCUGAGGAAAGUGGGAGAUUUGUUUUUCAAUGCAAGUCAGGGAUCUAGACUGUCACUACUGUGACCAUUAAAUUAAGGGGAGGCGCAAUGGUUUAAGGGAAGGGGGAUGUAAAUGAUAUUUCGAGCGAAGAAUCAGAAAACAAUUUUGCUUUAUGCUUUGGCCAUAGCCAGAUGCAGUGUCUUAUGGAGCUGAAUCUUUCUUUGGACCACCACCAGGAUCCCAUCCUCCGUUGAUGAUGCCCUGCAGUCUUUUUAACCUUUUGUGCAUGAACUGACAGCUAAAAUGCAUCUGCUGCUUGUUUUAAUUUCAGGCAUAUGCUUGUAAGGUUCACACAUGCAACUAGAUGAAUGUAGCAAGUGCUUUGAGUUUGUAGUGAUUUACUUUAAUUUAGAAUCUAUGUAUGUGAAUAUUGUAGGUAUGAAUAUGCUGCGUUUAUGCUACACUUUUUUCAUACAUUAAGCAAUGUGCUUUGGGUUAACCUUAAAAUGU